GACGAACGCUGGCGGCGUGCUUAACACAUGCAAGUCGAACGGAAAGGCCUCUUUCGGGGGGUACUCGAGUGGCGAACGGGUGAGUAACACGUGAGUAACCUGCCCUUGACUUUGGGAUAACUUCAGGAAACUGGGGCGAAUACCGGAUAGGAGCUCCUGCUGCAUGUUGGGGGUGGGAAAGUUUCGGCGGUUGGGGAUGGACUCGCGGCUUAUCAGCGUGUUGGUGGGGUAGUGGCUUACCAAGGCUUUGACGGGUAGCCGGCCUGAGAGGGUGACCGGCCACAUUGGGACUGAGAUACGGCCCAGACUCCUACGGGAGGCAGCAGUGGGGAAUAUUGCACAAUGGGUGGAAGCCUGAUGCAGCAACGCCGUGUGCGGGAUGACGGCCUUCGGGUUGUAAACCGCUUUCGCUCAUGACGAAGCUUUGUGUGACGGUAGUGGGUAAAGAAGCACCGGCUAACUACGUG
rnacentral:rRNA from 1 species